rnacentral:rRNA from 1 species
GAUGAACGCUAGCGGCAGGCCUAACACAUGCCAGUCGAGGGGGAAGUUACUUUCGGGUGACUGAGACCGGCGUACGGGUGCGUAACGCGUAUACAAUCUGCCUUUCACUGGGGGAUAGCCCGAAGAAAUUUGGAUUAAUACCCCAUAGUAUAUAGGGACGGCAUCGUUUUUAUAUUAAAGCUUAGGUGGUGAAAGAUGAGUAUGCGUUCUAUUAGCUAGUUGGAGAGGUAACGGCUCCCCAAGGCGAUGAUAGAUAGGGGUUCUGAGAGGGAUGUCCCCCACACUGGUACUGAGAUACGGACCAGACUCCUACGGGAGGCAGCAGUGAGGAAUAUUGGACAAUGGUCGGAAGACUGAUCCAGCCAUGCCGCGUGCAGGAGGAAGGUCUUAUGGAUUGUAAACUGCUUUUGUAAGGGAAGAAUAAGGGCUACGCGUAGUUUGAUGACGGUACCUUACGAAUAAGCAUCGACUAACUCCGUG